UUGAUUCAUAAACUGGUAAUCUUUUGAAAGGGGGAAAACAUCCGGAAAGUUUCAAUCUGAACUAUUUGUAGCAGUAGACAUAAAUACUUCAUGCUGAAUAGACUUGCCAUCACAGAGAGAUAGCAGCUCUUCUGCAAAUCAUUAAAUAAAAGCGAGGAUUUUGGUGUAGCAUAUAGUCAAGUAACACCUCUGACAGUCUAUCACCUCCUGAUAGUCAUCAACACAAAGUGACAAGAGUUCAAUACUCUCCUGGGUGUCGUCGUACAAAACCUUAGCCUGUCCACUUUCAGAAGCUUGUUAUUUUAUGGGAGUGAAGAUCACCUCAGUGCUAACAAUGUAAGGUGCAGUAGUAUCGUGAGGAGUGCAUAUUCUCAAUGUUUGUUUGUUGUUUAAUGCCGCACUCAACAAUAUUCCAGCUAUAUGGCGGCAGUCUGU
rnacentral:misc_RNA from 1 species